ensembl:lncRNA MIR3976HG MIR3976 host gene
GAGGCUUUACUGAAGGAAGAACAGGGACAGGGUUUGUCUGGUAUGAUUAGGGACUAGGAUGGUGUACGUGGAACAACUCCUGGUAAGACCAGGGUUGAAGUGAGAAGUGGAAUUGACACAGAGAGCAGGGGCCCGCCCUAUCCAAGAGGCAGCAGAAUGCGGGGACUGACAGCAAACAAGAACACAUCAGUGGAAAAGGAAAGUGUAGAAGAGAGGAAAAACAACGUGGAAGUGUUCUGAUGGGACGGAAGAAGAUCGGGCCAAGGAAAGAAGAAUGUUGUGAAGAUGCAAGCAGCCAAUUUGUGCUCCAUAAAAAGUAAAAUGUUGGUAUUAUACAUAAA